AUUGAACGCUGGCGGCAUGCCUUACACAUGCAAGUCGAACGGCAGCACGGGUGCUUGCACCUGGUGGCGAGUGGCGAACGGGUGAGUAAUACAUCGGAACAUGUCCUGUAGUGGGGGAUAGCCCGGCGAAAGCCGGAUUAAUACCGCAUACGAUCUACGGAUGAAAGCGGGGGACCUUCGGGCCUCGCGCUAUAGGGUUGGCCGAUGGCUGAUUAGCUAGUUGGUGGGGUAAAGGCCUACCAAGGCGACGAUCAGUAGCUGGUCUGAGAGGACGACCAGCCACACUGGGACUGAGACACGGCCCAGACUCCUACGGGAGGCAGCAGUGGGGAACUUUGGACAAUGGGCGAAAGCCUGAUCCAGCAAUGCCGCGUGUGUGAAGAAGGCCUUCGGGUUGUAAAGCACUUUUGUCCGGAAAGAAAUCCUUGGCCCUAAUACGGUCGGGGGAUGACGGUACCGGAAGAAUAAGCACCGGCUAACUACGUG
rnacentral:rRNA from 1 species